rnacentral:rRNA from 1 species
UACGUAGGGUGCGAGCGUUGUCCGGAAUUAUUGGGCGUAAAGAGCUCGUAGGCGGUGUGUCGCGUCGGCCGUGAAAACCUGGGGCUCAACUCUGGGCGUGCGGUCGAUACGGGCAUCACUUGAGUUCGGCAGGGGAGACUGGAAUUCCUGGUGUAGCGGUGAAAUGCGCAGAUAUCAGGAGGAACACCGGUGGCGAAGGCGGGUCUCUGGGCCGAUACUGACGCUGAGACGCGAGGGCGUGGGGAGCGAACGGG